AUACGUAGGGGGCGAGCGUUGUCCGGAAUGAUUGGGCGUAAAGGGCGCGUAGGCGGCCCGGUAAGUCUGGAGUGAAAGUCCUGUUUUUAAGAUGGGAAUUGCUUUGGAUACUGUCGGGCUUGAGUGCAGGAGAGGUAAGUGGAAUUCCCAGUGUAGCGGUGAAAUGCGUAGAGAUUGGGAGGAACACCAGUGGCGAAGGCGGCUUUCUGGACUGAAACUGACGCUGAGACACGAAAGCGUGGGGAGCAAACAGGAUUAGAUACCCUGGUAGUCCACGCUGUAAACGAUGAAUACUAGGUGUCGGGGCCGUAGGCCUCGGUGCCGCAGUUAACGCAAUAAGUAUUCCACCUGGGGAGUACGGCCGCAAGGCUGAAACUCAAAGGAAUUGACGGGG
rnacentral:rRNA from 1 species